rnacentral:tRNA from 1 species
GGCCGGUUAGCUCAGUUGGUUAGAGCGUGGCCAAGGUCACGGGUUCAACCCCCGUACGGGCCA